CUACGGGCUGCAGCAGUGGGGAAUAUUGCACAAUGGGGGAAACCCUGAUGCAGCAACACCGCGUGGAGGAUGACACUUUUCGGAGCGUAAACUCCUUUUAUAUAGGAAGAUAAUGACGGUACUAUAUGAAUAAGCACCGGCUAACUCCGUGCCAGCAGCCGCGGUAAUACGGAGGGUGCAAGCGUUACUCGGAAUCACUGGGCGUAAAGAGCGUGUAGGCGGGUUAAUAAGUCAGAAGUGAAAUCCAAUGGCUCAACCAUUGAACUGCUUUUGAAACUGUUAACCUAGAAUAUGGGAGAGGUAGAUGGAAUUUCUGGUGUAGGGGUAAAAUCCGUAGAGAUCAGAAGGAAUACCGAUUGCGAAGGCGAUCUACUGGAACAUUAUUGACGCUGAGACGCGAAAGCGUGGGGAGCAAACAGGAUUAGAUACCCCAGUAGUC
rnacentral:rRNA from 1 species